GAUGAAGAACGCAGCGAAAUGCGAUAAGUAAUGCGAAUUGCAGAAUUCAGCGAGUCAUCGAAUCUUUGAACGCACAUUGCGCCCCCUGGUAUUCCGGGGGGCAUGCCUGUCCGAGCGUCAUUGCUGCCCUCAAGCCCGGCUUGUGUGUUGGGUCUCGUCCCCCUUCCCGGGGGGACGGGCCCGAAAGGCAGCGGCGGCACCGCGUCCGGUCCUCGAGCGUAUGGGGCUUUGUCACCCGCUCUGUAGGCCCGGCCGGCGCUUGCCGAUCAACCAAAACUUUUUUCCAGGUUGACCUCGGAUCAGGUAGGGAUACCCGCUGAACUUAAGCAUAUCAAUAAGCGGAGGA
rnacentral:misc_RNA from 1 species